GCCGGAUUAUUUCAAUGGGCAGAAUGUACCCCUCGUAAGGGUGAGGCGACAGUUCGAACCUGUCAUCCGGCUC
rnacentral:tRNA from 1 species